CGGCGCUUAAGGCUGUCUGCCUUAUGCGGAGUCUCUGGCGUGGCUGUUGCAGUAAUGCGGUAAUAACGCAGUGCGGUACAGAAUGUGGUAAGGCAGAAAGAAUAAAGCCCCGUAGUUAAUUUUCAUUAAUCCACGAGGCCUACUCUAUGCCCAAGAACAUCAGAGUAGCCGCUUACCUGCCGCGAGGCAAGGAGAUACCGGCCAUG
rnacentral:antisense_RNA from 1 species